GUUUUCCAAAAUCACUUUCAUUCAUAACCACUGAGCGGUGGCCGAUACGUGUGCAUGAAUACAUUUCACACACCAAAAUGACUUAUAAUCGACGAAGCUGUAAACCGUUUCAGUAUGUCAGAAUACAAAGGGUUUUAUUGCACGCGAAAAUAGAAUGAUGCCGGCUUUUUGUUCUUUUUCCGGUUUUUUCGACCGGGGAACUACUUUUUCUCACUAUUGCGCACUUGUCUAGAGAAAGCAGACAUCAACCGGUAAAUUAUGAUCGCGGUUUAGUUCGAUUCUGGCGGUCAGGGUAAGGACAGGUGGAAUAUAUACAAGCGGGAGAUUGAAGAUCGGGUUUAUAAUAUUUGUUUCGGCAUUCAUAUAAUCUCGGUUAUUGACAGGCAUAAAGAACCGACUAGAACAACGUGCGAUGCCGUCUGCAGACUGUCCGCCGGAUACAUAUAAUGACGGUAUUGACAAGUGCUCUCCGUGCUCAACAAUUUGUAACAAUACCAAGGCAAGAGGGACAUUAUCCGAUUGUCUAAAGGAAUCAUCGUGUGCAGCAUAUUACGAACGAGUGUCUAGGACCACAACGACCUUACCUAGCAAUGAUCCAGAUUCUACAGGGCUACCUCAUUGGGUAAUUAUACUUGUCGUCGCUCUUGGUGUAAUUAUACUUGGAGCCUGUGUUUACGUGGCCAUUCGCUGGUGGAAGAAACGGAGAGUAGACCGCAAUGUUCGGUAUACUGUUCAAGCGACUGAGGAGCACCCAGAAGUACUUUCCGACUCGGGCGUAUCAACUGGUGGGUCAGAUCUUUCUAAUGGUUCAAGUUCUGGUUCAGUACCUGUAUCCACCCCCUCCACCUCAGGGGAAUCUGGAACUAAUGUCACAGGGAUGUCCGAAAUGGGGGACCAGAAGAGAUACAUGUUUGCUAUUUCAGAUGCCCAGGACCAAUAAAUAUAAAAGAGAUUGUUCUACUUAAUAGUAUGGAAUGUUAUUCGUGAAUAUUACAAUGCUUUACAAUAAUAUUACACACAUAGAUUAUUUUGGUUAUUUAGUCUCUUCUUACAUGUAUUUGUGCUAAGAAGGGGGGUGGGGGAGUAACGUCCACUCGAGACAAACUAGGUUAUUUUGAGACUAACAUGGUUCAUUUCCAAUACAAUAAUGCGCUUGCGCGUAGAGGUCUUAAGCAAUGGGAGGUCCCGGAGAAAACCCACUAGGUUUAACGAGCGACCCUACUCCCUGUCACGUUCAAGCAGAGAAUCGAAACCACAUCACUUGAUUCAAUGUCAGACCUUAUGAUGCGACACGCACACGUUAACCAUUAGGCCACCUAACCCCCCAUUCGGGAUGUCAAGACAUAUUUUAUUCAAACCACUCAGCACAUACAGUAAUAAUUACUUUAUCCACACAACAUUUGUAAGAUACCUCUUUAAAAAUUAGAACUCGACAGAUUUUAUAGGCCUUUGAAUUACGGCAGCUAUUGUUUAAUAUUUAAUAACUCUAAGUAUUUAUUUUUGUCUGUAUUGAUUACUGGAACUUUGGUAUUAUUCACCGGUUUCCUCCCACUGCUAAAGACCCCUCUGGUAUUAUUUAAUUGUGCAAUUGUUAGUAUAAACAUGUCAUAGUCUGUAACGCUUAGAUAAGUUUCACCAUCGCAUGACUUUGUGAUUCAUUCACUAUCACAGAUAAAUAGAAUAUUAGAGAGAAAUUAAGAUGGGGUAUUUCCUGUUUUAUUCAUGCUAAUAAAAUAUCAAAAGAGUUAUCCUUAGUGAUGGGUGGUGCCCAUACCCAUCCGCUCAAUACGUACUGCUUAGGUCAUUUUGUGAUUGACAAAAGGGUUUAGGCAUUGGUUAAUCUGACCUGGUCAGCGUAUUUUAGGCAUAAUAAUUGUUUUUAUUAUACGCCCAUAUUGAAAUGUGGUCGUACAUUGCCGUCGCCCUCGUCUGUCCGUCCGUCCACAAGCUCUAGAGACUAAAGUUAAUAUCCGAUUGACUUUAAAUUUAUACAUAGUGUUUAUGGUCAUGCGAUAAUUACUGCCAGUUAUGGCCCUUGAUCACUUUAAAAAAAUCGUGUGGACGCUGUAUGGGCUAAAGUUAAUAUCCGAUUGGCUUAAAUUUAUACACAGUGUUUACGGUCAUGAAACGAAGAAUCCUAUUGAUUUCAACAAUUUCCGAUAAUUACUGUCUGAGUUAUGGCCCUUGAUCACUUUAAACUGUCUUGUUGGUGCUCUGGAGACAAAAGUUAAUAUCCGAUAGACUUUAGAUUUAUGAACACAAUGUUUACGUUGAUGAGACGAAGUAGUCCGAUAAUUAUUGCCAGAGUAAUUUUAGUAUCUGAUAAACUUUAAAUUUAUACACAGUGGUUACGAUCAUGAGACGAAGAAACCUAUUGAUUUUCAACAAUUUCCGAUAAUUACUUCCCGAGUUACGGCCUUUAAUCACUUGAGAAACCUUGUGGACACGCUAGAGGCUAAAGUUAAUAUACAGUUCUGAAGGUCAGGAGACAAACAAUCGAAACAAAUUCUAAUGAUUUCUGAUAAUUAUUUAAUGGGUUAUUACACGUAAUCAGAUUUUAGUGUUUUGUAAAUGUUUUCAUUGCUGACAAAAGAAAAAAUAUCCGACAACCCUUGUUGACUGCCCAGACGACUUAGCUGCUGUGGGCGUAUGUUUCGUUGCCUGGCUACCUAUCUUUAUAUAUAUUUUAUAUCUAUUGCAAUUGAACAACCUAUUUUUAACUUAUUGUGAUAUUUCUUAUGAUCUGGAAUAAUAUUAUAUUUUAUAUCUAUUGCAAUUGAACAACCUAUUUUUAACUUAUUGUGAUAUUUCUCAUGAUCUGGAAUAAUAUUAUGUUAUAUUAAUUACAAACUAGCUAACAUUAACUAAUAGUGCAAUCAAUGUACAUAAUAUAAUUAUGCAAUGUAACGUGACGUGCCUCGAAUCAAACAACUGCUUGCCAUUUAUAUUAUGUAGAUGUAUUAAAUUGAGGGGUUUUUUUAGCAUUAGAUUAUACAGAUGUAUAACCACGCGAUUGAUGGGGAAUUUAUGAACGGGAAAUGUUCUACUUUUAUUAUAUCGUUAAGACAGUUGAAUGCAGCUACUUUUAAAAAAAAAAUUUAAAAAAAUUUAAAAAAAAAAGAAAACUUACAUGUAGUCUUUUAAAAAAAGUUUCGUGUACCUACAUUUUUGUCCACGGAAAUUAUUAAAUAAUUAUUCAUGAAUAAUAUGGAGAAUUCAUGACCGCGUUGUACAAUGUGUGUAUUUUGUCUAUAGUACGGCGAUUUCGGCUGAAAAGAAUAGGGUCGGUUGGAUAACCGUAAACACAGGUAUUAUUUUUUUACCCUAAUUAAUAAGUUGAUUAUGUAAUGAUGCACAUCAAGGAUUAAUUCUUCGUUAGAUGAAUUAUACAAUAAAAUAAGAUGAUUGUAAUAUAGGAUAGUUAGAUAGUCAGGGCCAUUUUGAUUAUUUGGGAUAAACCAAGUAUUUAUUUUCCUGGGUAUUAGUUUUAGUACAUGUAUAUAUAUUUACAUCCAACUUCUACUCGUUGCCACUGGUAACCUUUGAUAAAACUGUCCUGUUUAAUCGCAAUACAUGCUUAAAAGUAUCCGUGUAUCAGUAAUGUACAGAAAGAGUACUGUUCAUUUCUGAUACACGGAUACUUUUAAACCGUGUUAGAUACCUAUCAAGCAAUCAGUAGCGGACGUUUAGUCCGAUCCAGAUCGCAAAUGAAGACCAUGGCUCUAACCAAUGUACAUGAAACAACUAGUCAAAAUAGUAACAAAACAAAAUCGGGGGAACUACAUGGCAGUUCAAAAACAUAUACAAUGACAUUAAAUUAACAUAACAACAUAUUACAAAAAUCAAUUAUUAUACAUAUCAAUUGGCAUCUAUUUUAUAAUUUGGUUUGAUUUAUAUUAAUAUGCAAAAUAUAUAUAUUAGAAUAUUGAAUAAUUAUUUUAAUUAAUUGUGAUGAUAGAAGGCGCAGUUCUCUUGCUGGACACUUCACAGGCAUUGAUAAUUAGCAGGAUGAAAAAAACGCCUAGAAAGUCAUAAACUUUAUUACAAAUAAAUUUCAACGGAAGAACCAUCCGCCGAUGCAUACUUUCACCAGGAAUGACCCACGUUUCGCAUUUCCUUUACACUACAUUUAAUAAUAUCGCAGUCCUCUACGCCAUAGAUAAGAUGUUUUGACGGUGUUGUCUAAACAAACACGUGAUUGUUUUACGCUCAGAGUAUCAUAGCAAGACGCACGUGUAAAUACUACUCAGGUCGUCUCUCCACAGCGAAAUCAUUCUACCAUGAAAUGUAACGUGAGGCUCAGAAAGGGAUAAAUAAUGAAAGAGCAGAAAGUAUUUGUCACUUUUCGGUUGAAACGACUCGAUGAUAAAUACUAUUUUUCACAUGUUGGUUCACAAUACUCGAUAGAAAUGUGAUGUAAGUAACUUAUUAGCACCUUUCCUCGGUGUAUCGGUGAAUAUCAGGACAGUUUUGGUCGGGGGCCGCCUCGGCUUCGCCUCGGCUGGGCCCCUCGACCAAAACUGUCCUGAUAUUCACCGGUACACCUCGGAAAGGGUGCUAAUAACUACAACAUAUAUAUAUCAAUCUGACAUUCCUGAAAUGCAACCAAAGUUGUUUGUUACAUGUACAUCUAUUUUCGUUUUGUUUUUGUACAUACGUAGAUUCUUGACAGGAUGAUAGUUUUCGGGUUUGUGUGUCCUGUUUAUUUAAAUGAAUGAAUGAUAUAUGUUGAAGCGCACUGAAAAAUGGUUGUAGAUAUCAAGUCUUUCAAAUACUACACGUGUAUGAUGUAAUAAUAUGAUGUAGAAAUAUGUAAUAAGUCAUUAUUGUAUUGCUACCAUAAAAAUAUAUAAGUGACGAGCGUGA